rnacentral:rRNA from 1 species
GGGAUUGCCUCAGUAACGGCGAGUGAAGCGGCAACAGCUCAAAUUUGAAAUCUGGCCCCCUCGGGGUCCGAGUUGUAAUUUGUAGAGAGUGUUUCGGGGGAGACCGCGGUCUAAGUCAAUUGGAACAUGGCGUCCCAGAGGGUGAGAAUCCCGUAUGUGACCGCGGCUCGAGCCCGUGUGAAGCCUCUUCGACGAGUCGAGUUGUUUGGGAAUGCAGCUCUAAAUGGGUGGUAAAUUUCAUCUAAAGCUAAAUACUGGCUGGAGACCGAUAGCGCACAAGUAGAGUGAUCGAAAGAUGAAAAGCACUUUGGAAAGAGGGUUAAACAGUACGUGAAAUUGUUGAAAGGGAAGCGCUUGCAACCAGACCUGCCCGUAGGCGAUCAACCGCUGUUCUCAGCGGUGCACUCGUUCUGCGAUCAGGCCAGCAUCGGUUCGGGCGGUCGGAUAAAGGCCUUGGGAAUGUAGCUUCCCUUCGGGGGAGUCUUAUAGCCCUCGGUGCAAUGCGGCCAGCCGGGACCGAGGACCGCGCUUCGGCUAGGAUGCUGGCGUAAUGGUUGUAAGCGACCCGUCUUGAAACACGGACCAAGGAGUCUAACAUCUAUGCGAGUGUUUGGGUGUCAAACCCAUGCGCGAAAUGAAAGUGAACGGAGGUGAGAACCCUAAAGGGCGCAUCAUCGACCGAUCCAGAUGUCUUCGGAUGGAUUUGAGUAUGAGCAUAGCCGUUGGGACCCGAAAGAUGGUGAACUAUGCCUGAAUAGGGUGAAGCCAGAGGAAACUCUGGUGGAGGCUCGCAGCGGUUCUGACGUGCAAAUCGAUCGUCAAAUUUGGGUAUAGGGGCGAAAGACUAAUC